AAAUGUAGGAGCUCUGGCGGCUGCCCCGCUAGUCAUGGCUGUGGAAAAGGGCGGGUCACGUGGCCCGGCUUCCGGCAGAAGUUUUAAGUGCGGAGUCAUCUCCGAGCGUGAGCUAAGGUCAGACUCCUAGUUCCUGAAGCGUUAGCACGCCUUGCUGAGGGUGGGCCUUUCGCUUGCAAAAUUGUGUAUGAGUUCCUGAAAGGGAACUGAUUUGGUUCCCCUCUUACUACAUUCAACAAUUAUUACAUAUUAUUACAUUCCACAAUUAAUAAUCCCUGAAGCCAGCAGAGUUGUCUGUCUCCAUCAGUACAACUACAAAGUCUCUUUAAAUUUCCGUUCCCCAGAGUCCCGGCCUCUCCAAGCCCACUUACUUCAAAUAACUUCUCAAGGUGGUAGAAAUGUUAAAACUAACCCCCCAAAAAAGGUCACCACCUGGAUUAUGACCGCACAACUUUUCCUGGUUUUUUUUUUUUUUUAAAUGUUGCGAAAAUUCAGUGAUUCCAUAUGUUCAGCACGUGCUAACAUCUUGAAUACUUGCCCUUGACCCAUCAACUCUCAUGGCUGCAAGAGAGCAGGUAGAAAAUGGCCAUGUAUUCAAGGGCAACUCAGUAGGCGUUUGACCUGAAUUGCGAGUGACAUGGAAUGCAGUCUGGACAAGUGAGGGAGUUGAUCCUCAAAAAGCAAAGCAAAACAAAAUGUCAAACUUAUGCUCCUGAAAGAAGAUUUGAGAAAGAUCAGUUGCUUUUCAGUUCCCUGCACAGUGGCCUCUUUGGGAACACUGAAAGAGAUAAGACCACAGGAAAUCAUAUUGUCCUAUACUAUUAUAUAAAAUUAUGAUUCCAUCACCAUUUGUAAUUCAUGUAAUAUUCAAGUGACCAUUGGCCCGAAAAGUUAAAUUAACCCAUGUCUUUAAUUUCUUACCAUUUUAAGAGGACUUUUUACCUCCUUAUUUAAGUAGUACUGUUUGUACAUGGAAUCCCUCACCUUUCACCUCUUUUUCUUCCCUAUCACUUAGUAUUCUUAACUAAAUUGAUCAAGUGUUUUGACAUCAGUUAAAACUAGGAUCACUGCAAACAGGACAUGGGGUAGAAUAUAUGAGAUUUACUUCCCUCAGAAAUAUUCCUAAAGAGAAUAAGGACAGGUAUUCUCUGAUUGGGUCUGACCUAUGAAAUAAUUGAAUAUAGUUCUUGAAUUUAAAAGGGGAAAAAUCCUAUUUCUGACCUCCAUUUAAGACCUUCAGACUCCUUGGAGGCUCUGCAUCAGCUUCUCUUUACACACUCUAAUUUGCAACAAUACCUUGAUUAAAGUUUUCCCAAAUGUCUUCUCUUCACCCCACAGUAUGACUACCAAGUAAACCAUCAUGGAUUACAUUCCAGUUUAUUGUUUUACAAUCUUCAUUUAGCUAUAGGAUUUCUUCAGUUGGGAUACGUUUGUGUCAGCCAGUUUAGUUUCAGAAAAAGACAUUUUCUGAUCUUUCACCAAAAUGGUGGGUCUGAAUAAUUUGGAGGCUAAAGUUCAUGAAUUCACAAAACUGAACAUUUGUGAACAGAAAACUCUUCCCAUUUAAGAUUGACUGUAGCAUUGCACUAAAUUGUUUGUAUGUGAACUUUUUCUUCAUUGUACCUGAAAGCUUAAAUAACUGUUCUCAUUUUAGCAGUUCCUUACGUGAAACAUUUAUACUGGCUUUUCAGUUUGUGAACUUGUACUUUGUAGUAUCAUGUACUUAGUUACAUAAUAGUGCUCUCUUUCUUCUAGAUGAAUCUUUUUUUUAAAAUGUUUUAUAUUGGAGGAUAUAAAGUCACUUCUUUUAAUAUUAAUAUUCUGUUUUACACCUGAUAACUG
rnacentral:lncRNA from 1 species